AUGAACACUGAUCCAAAAAAUAAGAGUGCUCAGAAACCUCUCAAGUGAGAUGAGUGUACCCAAAGGCACUGUCCAGUGGAGGGAUGUGAGCCCACCCAGGCUUUGCCGUUGGCGUCUGGUCCUGUUGCAGGUCAUGCAGUCGGGCAUCACGGAUGAUGGAGACCAGCCGGGGGAGGCGGGUGCUGGGCACGAGCAGGAGAAGGCAUGGAAUUAGGAGCCAAGCCUGCAUUGUGGCAGACUUUGUGGUGGCUGUGCUGGGAUCUAUGUACCUCAGAAGGCAAGUGAUCGUCGUCAUGGACAACCAGGAGGAACCUGGAUGCAGUGAAGCCUCUGUCAGCCUCCUGGGGUCGUUAAAGACGCCCCCAAAUACAUCGAUCCCCCCACGUGGCGCUGCGCACAGGCGCGCUUCCCUGCCCCGCCGGGGUCAGGCGUGACCGGGUGACCGUGACUGGCCGGUGAAUGUGUGAGCAGGGACCUCACGUGUCCCAUCCCGGAAGAGCCUUUGGGAGGCAGUGGACAGCUUGCUUCAUGCCCGACUUCCCGCGUGUUGAGAUGGAGCCUCCUUCCGACCGGUGUCUGAGGGACUGGGAUGGAAAGAUCCCGACCUGGUCAGGCCUGUUGGCGGAGCAGGAUGUCAGCUUUAGUUAGUAUCAGUCACCGGGACUUGUCGCUGCAGCGGGAUCCAGCCUGUCCCGAUCGACAGGGCAGCGUGGCUUUUCUUUACUGUGGAGGGAAUUAGGGUCUGGACUUGCGAGAUCGGGGAGCAGGAAAUCUGUGUACGUGGUGGUCACCGU
rnacentral:lncRNA from 1 species